UGCUGGAGGUAUCAGAAGUGCGAAUGCUGACAUAAGUAACGAUAAAGCGGGUGAAAAGCCCGCUCGCCGGAAGACCAAGGGUUCCUGUCCAACGUUAAUCGGGGCAGGGUGAGUCGACCCCUAAGGCGAGGCCGAAAGGCGUAGUCGAUGGGAAACGGGUUAAUAUUCCCGUACUUGGUGUUACUGCGAAGGGGGGACGGAGAAGGCUAUGUUGGCCGGGCGACGGUUGUCCCGGUUUAAGCGUGUAGGCUGGUUUUCCAGGCAAAUCCGGAAAAUCAAGGCUGAGGCGUGAUGACGAGGCACUACGGUGCUGAAGCAACAAAUGCCCUGCUUCCAGGAAAAGCCUCUAAGCAUCAGGUAACAUCAAAUCGUACCCCAAACCGACACAGGUGGUCAGGUAGAGAAUACCAAGGCGCUUGAGAGAACUCGGGUGAAGGAACUAGGCAAAAUGGUGCCGUAACUUCGGGAGAAGGCACGCUGACAUGUAGGUGAAGUGAUUUACUCAUGGAGCUGAAGUCAGUCGAAGAUACCAGCUGGCUGCA
rnacentral:rRNA from 1 species